rnacentral:rRNA from 1 species
UAGAGUUUGAUCAUGGCUCAGGAUGAACGCUGGCGGCGUGCUUAACACAUGCAAGUCGAACGAUGAACCUCACUUGUGGGGGGAUUAGUGGCGAACGGGUGAGUAACACGUGAGUAACCUGCCCUUAACUCUGGGAUAAGCCUGGGAAACUGGGUCUAAUACCGGAUAUGACUUCUCAUCGCAUGGUGGGGGGUGGAAAGCUUUUGUGGUUUUGGAUGGACUCGCGGCCUAUCAGCUUGUUGGUGAGGUAAUGGCUUACCAAGGCGACGACGGGUAGCCGGCCUGAGAGGGUGACCGGCCACACUGGGACUGAGACACGGCCCAGACUCCUACGGGAGGCAGCAGUGGGGAAUCUUGCGCAAUGGCCGAAAGGCUGACGCAGCGACGCCGCGUGUGGGAUGACGCCUUUCGGGGUGUAAACCACUGUUGCCCGGGACGAACAGCCUGUUUCGACAGGUCUGACGGUACCGGGUGAGGAAGCACCGGCUAACUCCGUGCCAGCAGCCGCGGUACCCAAUCGC